GCAAGUCGAGGGGUAACAGGGAUUGCUUGCAAUCCGCUGACGACCGGCGCACGGGUGCAUAACGCGUAUACAAUUUGCCUUAUACAGGGGGAUAGCCUUUAGAAAUGAAGAUUAAUACCCCAUGGUCUAUAGAUAUGGCGUCAUAACUAUAGUAAAGAUUUAUCGGUAUAAGAUGAGUAUGCGUUCUAUUAGCUAGAUGGUAAGGUAACGGCUUACCAUGGCAACGAUAGAUAGGGGUCCUGAGAGGGAGAUC
rnacentral:rRNA from 1 species